UACGAAGGGUGCAAACGUUGCUCGGAAUUAUUGGGCGUAAAGCGCACGUAGGCGGCUUUGCAAGUCCCAUGUGAAAUCCCACGGCUCAACCGUGGAAGUGCAUGGGAAACUGCAGAGCUUGAGUACUUAAGAGGAUCGCGGAAUUCCCGGUGUAGAGGUGAAAUUCGUAGAUAUCGGGAGGAACACCAGUGGCGAAGGCGGCGAUCUGGGAAGAUACUGACGCUGAGGUGCGAAAGCGUGGGGAGCAAACAGGG
rnacentral:rRNA from 1 species